CUGUCACAAGGGCAGGAAAACAGGGCAAGUUCCGUCUUCAAAUCAAUUUAAAUUCAGCCAAGGAGUGCAACCAGUGGCUCUGAAGAAUGACUGAGACCCCCAGCCUUCACCACAGCCGGUAUAAAUCAGACCUGGAGCCAGGACUUUUACCAUACUGAGCAAUGCAUCUGCAUUGCUUAACCCAAGACCCCUCUGCAGACCUAAUGAUGGCCGAGGCUCAUUCCAAGACACCAGGUGGCCCAACUGGCCCAGAUCGACUCCUGUGUCUGCGUUAGGAAAGAGCAUCAUACUUUAUUAUCAGAGGAAGCAAGAGAAACAGGCUCCCCAAUUUAUCUUGUCUUCUCACAAAAGGGUUUCAUUUUGCUCUUUUUCUCUAUCUUAAAUGUUUUAACACCAAGAGGAUGUUUAUAUGCUCUUAGCCUUAAAACAGAUGGUAAACUAUUUGGUGGAGUUUGUUUUGUUUUCCACAUAAAAUUUAUCUGCAUUUACUGUUUCAGCUUACAGAGAAGGGGGCAGUUAAAUGCGGCUUUUUCCAAGGGCAUUUUUUCUUUGUUUGCUAAAUAUAGCCACACUUUUAUUCUAUUGGCAGCAAUUAUGAUUCCUUAGUCUGUAAGUGUUUACUGAUUUAAAAGACGUUCUUUCUCCGAGAGCCAGAGGGAUCAAGGUUAGCUUUUUUUUAUCGCUUUCAGCCAUCUUGUUUUCAUUACUUUGGGCACGGUUGUGCGCACACCUCACCUGCAACAUUGCUUUCUUAAUAGUACAAACAGGCAUGUGCAUGGUGUCUGAUAAAAUGGCAUCUACAAAUAUUUUACAGGAGCUUGUUCAACACGCUUCCACGACAUUUAUGCACUUAGAUAUGAUUUGUUGUUAUGUGUCUUCACCAAUGUUCCCUCUAAUUUUUCAUGUUUCUGAGCGAACACACAAACUCCCUGAGCGGUCCCUUGGACCACUGUGAGCGACAUCAGACGUGUGCACUGUGGUCACGCCAGCAUUGAAGUUACACGGUUUAUUAAAAAUAAUCAAAUUACAGCAUUUACAUUUAUGUUAGACUACUUUUAAUUAACUGCUUUAGCCCACUUACAAAUAAUCUUGUUCAUGACCUGUGUAGCAUGUUAACACUAUUGGAAGUAAAAAUAACUUGAACUCCAAUUUUGAAAACACAACUUUCUUUUUUCUAUUUGUAUAAAGCUCUGACUUGUAUUCUGA
ensembl:lncRNA